rnacentral:rRNA from 1 species
UACGGAGGGUGCAAGCGUUGCUCGGAAUCAUUGGGCGUAAAGCGUACGCAGGCUGUUCGUUAAGUCGGGUGUGAAAGCCCGGGGCUCAACCCCGGAACUGCGCCCGAAACUGGCGAGCUUGAGUGCGGGAGAGGGAAGCGGAAUUCCUGGUGUAGAGGUGAAAUUCGUAGAUAUCAGGAGGAACACCGGUGGCGAAAGCGGCUUCCUGGCCCGACACUGACGCUCAUGUACGAAAGCGUGGGGAGCAAACAGGAUUAGAUACCCCAGUAGUCC